rnacentral:misc_RNA from 1 species
UACGAAGGGGGCUAGCGUUGUUCGGAUUUACUGGGCGUAAAGCGCGCGUAGGCGGACAUUUAAGUCAGGGGUGAAAUCCCAAGGCUCAACCUUGGAACUGCCUUUGAUACUGGAUGUCUGGAGUUCGGGAGAGGUGAGUGGAAUUCCGAGUGUAGAGGUGAAAUUCGUAGAUAUUCGGAGGAACACCAGAAGCGAAGGCGGCUCACUGGCCCGAUACUGACGCUGAAGUGCGAAAGUGCGGGGAGCAAACAGG